rnacentral:lncRNA from 1 species
UAGGCAUAUUUGUCCCCCCCAUGAAUGUUUUCAGUGUUGAACCAACAUCGUUAUCUCAAGGGUCGGUUGUUGUUCUAACCGCGUACCCAUAAAAGUCAAAUAAAUGUUCUAACAUACCUAUUGCAGCCAGUUUUCGAUGAGUUAGCUAGCCAGAAGUUGAGUUGUUAUAUCCGAUCGGUGAAUGGCAGGAAAUCUGUAAAACAAGUUCUCUUGUCGGAAGUUGUCUGACGUGAGACCCUCCGAUACUUAAGUUAGCCAAAAAAAGGACA